GUCUCCAUUGAUCCCCAUUGAUCCCCAUUGAUCUCCAUUGAUCCCCAUUGAUCCCCAUUGAUCCCCAUUGAUCCCCAUUGAUCCCCAUUGAGCUCC